rnacentral:tRNA from 10 species
CUGGGUAGCUCAGUAGGUAGAACAUCAGACUUUUAAUCUGAGGGUCUAGGGUUCAAGUCCCUGUCCAGGCGUUGAGUGUAGUUUUGACUUCUGCCACAUAGAGAAGUCAAAACAGAAAACUUCUGCCACAUGCGGCAAAACAGCCGUACACUUUACUAGCUUUACUUACUUAUACCCUCCAGAGACUAACUAAAUCACAUAUUUGUAAGCAAAUCUAGGAUUAUGGUAAAGAUAACAAGUAACUUGCACUGGAGUUAUUGGACAGCCACUUUCAAAUUCCCUUACCUGGUGGGGGAUAACAACCUCAUUCUAGAGGGUGUUGCAGUUUGGGAGGACCCUAGUAGCAUGUAGACUCUGAGAGUUGGUAGUACACAAAAC